rnacentral:ncRNA from 1 species
ACUAACGGCGAAGGACAAUUGACGGGAAAUCAUUAAGUUUGUAAAUAAACUCAUUGUUUCUAAUUCAUAUGCCAUAAGGCAGUUUAAUACAAACUCAAAUGAUUGUUUAGAACGUACAGUCGAGGUAAUCCAAAAUGAACUGGAGACGCCGUCGGGAGAUCCGGGAACAGUUUUCUUUUCUGUAUAAGUGUUCGAGUUCUCUGGAAAUCUUUAGCAGGGAGAUAGGGUUUGGAACGCGAAGAGCACUGCAAUUGCGGCGGUGUCCGGAUCUUCCCCUCGGAUCUUGGAAAAAUCCAGGAGAGGGUCGUACCCAUAUCUGCAGCAGAUCUCCAAGGUAAAGAGCUUCUAGU